UACGGGAGAAAGCAGGGGACCUUCGGGCCUUGCGCUAUCAGAUGAGCCUAGGUCGGAUUAGCUAGUUGGUGAGGUAAUGGCUCACCAAGGCGACGAUCCGUAACUGGUCUGAGAGGAUGAUCAGUCACACUGGAACUGAGACACGGUCCAGACUCCUACGGGAGGCAGCAGUGGGGAAUAUUGGACAAUGGGCGAAAGCCUGAUCCAGCCAUGCCGCGUGUGUGAAGAAGGUCUUCGGAUUGUAAAGCACUUUAAGUUGGGAGGAAGGGCAUUAACCUAAUACGUUAGUGUUUUGACGUU
rnacentral:rRNA from 1 species